ensembl:snRNA U6 U6 spliceosomal RNA
GUGCUCCCUUAGGCAGCACAUAUACUAAAAUUGGAAUGAGAGAAGAUUAGCAUGGUCCCUGCACAAGGAUGACAUGCAAAUUCGCAAAGCGUUCCAUAUUUUU